rnacentral:misc_RNA from 1 species
AAGUCGUAACAAGGUCUCCGUUGGUGAACCAGCGGAGGGAUCAUUACCGAGUUUACAACUCCCAACCCUUCUGUGAACAUACCUAUCGUUGCUUCGGCGGAACGCCCCGGCGCCCUGAGCCCGGAACCAGGCGCCCGCCGGAGACCACAAACUCUUCUGUAUUUUCAGCACCAGUAUUUUCCUCUGAGUGGCAAACGCAAAAAAUCAAUUAAAACUUUUAACAACGGAUCUCUUGGCUCUG